UACGUAGGGGGCAAGCGUUGUCCGGAUUUAUUGGGCGUAAAGAGCGUGUAGGCGGCCUGGUAGGUCAGCUGUGAAAAGUCAAAGGCUCAACCUUUGAAAGCCGGUGGAUACUGUGGGGCUAGAGUACGGAAGAGGCGAGUGGAAUUCCUGGUGUAGCGGUGGAAUGCGCAGAUAUCAGGAGGAACACCAAUAGCGAAGGCAGCUCGCUGGGACGUUACUGACGCUGAGGCGCGAAAGCGUGGGGGAGCGAAACAGG
rnacentral:rRNA from 1 species